GACGGUACCUGCAUAAUAAGGAGCGGCCAACUACGUGCCAGCAGCCGCGGUGACACGUAGGCUCCAAGCGUUGUCCGGAUUUAUUGGGCGUAAAGAGCUCGUAGGCGGUUCAGCAAGUCGGGUGUGAAAACUCUGGGCUCAACCCAGAGCCUGCACCCGAAACUGCUGUGACUAGAGUUCGGUAGGGGAGUGGGGAAUUCCUAGUGUAGCGGUGAAAUGCGCAGAUAUUAGGAGGAACACCGAUGGCGAAGGCACCACUCUGGGCCGAAACUGACGCUGAGGAGCGAAAGCGUGGGUAGCAAACAGGAUUAGAUACCCUGGUAGUCCACGCCGUAAACGAUGGGCACUAGGUGUGGGUCUCUAACCAACGAGAUCCGCGCCGUCGCUAACGCAUUAAGUGCCCCGCCUGGGGAGUACGGUCGCAAGACUAAAACUC
rnacentral:rRNA from 1 species